rnacentral:lncRNA from 1 species
CUGCUUUAUGCAGGUUCUGCGAAGUGCUUGACUCUGAAAGAUGGGAAUGCCCUUAUUGCCUGUUUACAUUGGCGUCUGACUCGUUGGCCUGACAAUUGCACUUUAGAGACCUAGCUAACUGAUUCAGAAUCAUAUCUUGAAUCCUAGAAUCCUCUCUUAAACUGUCAACUAUGCUAAAUGAAACAUUGUUCUGAUCAUUUUGAGUGACUAAAGAGUUACUACUGUGCUAAAUAAACAGCCUAAGGCCCAAGGGUUUAAAAGAUCAUUUGGCAAGUUCUGACACCUGAAGUCCUGAGUCACGUAUUCAGAGGUGAAUAGUGAACUGCAUAGUAGCAAGACUUGACCUACAAAGCAGACAAAUGGGAG